rnacentral:rRNA from 1 species
AACGAACGCUGGCGGCAUGCCUAACACAUGCAAGUCGAACGAAGUCUUCGGACUUAGUGGCGCACGGGUGCGUAACGCGUGGGAAUCUGCCCUUGGGUGCGGAAUAACUUCUCGAAAGGGAUGCUAAUACCGCAUAAUGUCGUAAGACCAAAGAUUUAUCGCCCAAGGAUGAGCCCGCGUAAGAUUAGCUAGUUGGUGGGGUAAAAGCCUACCAAGGCGACGAUCUUUAGCUGGUCUGAGAGGAUGAUCAGCCACACUGGGACUGAGACACGGCCCAGACUCCUACGGGAGGCAGCAGUGGGGAAUAUUGGACAAUGGGCGAAAGCCUGAUCCAGCAAUGCCGCGUGAGUGAUGAAGGCCCUAGGGUUGUAAAGCUCUUUUACCAGGGAUGAUAAUGACAGUACCUGGAGAAUAAGCUCCGGCUAACUCCGUACCAGCAGCCGCGGUAAU